CAGUUCUCAACUGCCUGUAACUCC
rnacentral:piRNA from 1 species